AUUGAACGCUGGCGGCAGGCCUAACACAUGCAAGUCGAGCGGAUGAGAGGAGCUUGCUCCUCGAUUCAGCGGCGGACGGGUGAGUGAUGCCUAGGAAUCUGCCCAGUAGUGGGGGACAACGUUUCGAAAGGAACGCUAAUACCGCCUACGUCCUACGGGAGAAAGUGGGGGAUCUUCGGACCUCACGCUAUUGGAUGAGCCUAGGUCGGAUUAGCUAGUUGGUAGGGGAAAGGCCUACCAAGGCGACGAUCCGUAACUGGUCUGAGAGGAUGAUCAGUCACACUGGAACUGAGACACGGUCCAGACUACUACGGGAGGCAGCAGUGGGGAAUAUUGGACAAUGGGCGCAAGCCUGAUCCAGCCAUGCCGCGUGUGUGAAGAAGGCCCUCGGGUCGUAAAGCACUUUAAGUUGGGAGGAAGGGCUUACAGCGAAUACCUGUGAGUUUUGACGUUACCGACAGAAUAAGCACCGGCUAACUUCGUGCCAGCCGCCGCCGUAA
rnacentral:rRNA from 1 species